GAUGAACGCUGACAGAAUGCUUAACACAUGCAAGUCGGUGGCGGACGGGUGAGUAACACGUGGGUGUCCUGCCCUGCACUUCGGGAUAAGCCUGGGAAACUGGGUCUAAUACCGGAUAGUGUGGGAUGGGCCCGUGGCCUAUCAGCUUGUUGGUGGGGGAAUGACCUACCAAGGCGGCGACGGGUAGCCGGCCUGAGAGGGGGGACGGCCACAUCGGGUCUGAGACACGACCCAGACUCCUACGGUGGGCAGCAGUGGGGAAUAUUGCACGAUGGGCGGAAGCCGGAUGCAGCGACGCCACGUGGGGGAUGACGGCCUUCGAGUUAUAGACUCCUUUCACCAUCUACGCGGUAGAUGGGGAAGAAGCACCGGCUAACUACGUGCCAGCAGCCGCGGUAAUAC
rnacentral:rRNA from 1 species